rnacentral:misc_RNA from 1 species
GUUUUUUCCUGUAUUAUUUCUUCAUGCUAGUGUGCUUGCCCAGAUAUGCACAAAAAGCCAUCAGCUGAGCUGAUUUUACUUGUUGAACUGAGCUUUAAGUUAAUUAAGGAAGCAUGCUUGUCAUUAUCUCAGAUUUAUUUUGGUUCUAUAAAGGUGUCUAUAAUACUUGCAUGCAUGGCUUUUCUGUUUCAUGUAUUAUGCGCUUAUAAAGGAUGGGACAAUGGGUAAUACCAGUGUGCAAGAGAAAAAAGUUCCAAAGUACUUGGUAACAUUAUUUUUCAAUUAUUGAAAAGUCUGCUUUGUCUGAUAUGUUUUAUUAGCAUUCUUGAACUGAGAUUUAGAAAUGGAGCCUAGGCAAGAAAGAUAUGCAAAUUUUGGCUAUGUUCUGGACUAGGAUGAUUCUGAAAGUAGGAUUUAGUGGGUGUAAUGGCUUGG